CGCUCCGGCUUGGCCCCCGCGGUGGGCGGGCGCCCGGCUGCUGCUCCGCCCGCGCGCAAGGGAGAGCUAUUUCGGGAGCGCCGGGCGAGCCAAAGAUAGCGCGGGCGGGAAGUAUUUAUAGCGCGGCGCCGCCGCCGCCGCCGCUUUUCCGGGGCGGGGAGAGGAAAAUGCGAGCCGGAGCCUCUGCCCCCGGGGCGAGAGCCGGAGCAGGGAUUCCCCGCGCGGGCGGGGCAGGGCGGAGACGCCGGGGCUGCCCCGGGCCAGCCUGACGCAAUGGCGAGCGGACGGGGAUCUCCCUGCCGGGGCGGGGACUCCGCCCGGAGCCGCGAGGCUUGGUGCCGCGCAUUGCCCGGAGGGGGCCGCUGCCCUCUCGCCAAGGAAAAGGGACGAAGCCGCCGAGUCCAGAAAGCUGGAGCGGGACCAAACAACCUCCGGCCCCCUCCGGGCACUUGCUCGGGCGCACCUGGGUGCAGCGCUGGAACGGCUGAUCCGCAAUCGGUGGAGACGCGUGUGCGGACGUGAGGAUGUGCCGUGCACGUGCACGCAGAAGAAAGCUUCCCUGAAGUCACAGGGGAUUGGCUCCCUAAUAAAUACCCGUAGAAUUGCAGCCCGACCCUACCUGUGUUUACUCGGAAGUAAGCCCCAUUGACUUCUAUUGGAUUUGCUCUCAGGCCCAGAAGAGAGACCAUUCCCCACAACUUCUGUCGCUGAUUGCCAGCCACACUCUGAAUGAAAGGCAAGUUGGAGGGCUAGGAGAAGUCACGUGGGAGGGGCCCGUUCUCCUUCAAUGUGAUGAGGCUGAGCGCUGAUACUGAAAAUCCAUGCUGAGCCCUGACACAAAUUAAGCCCAAGAAACAAUGAGGAAAUGUAACAGGGAAGAGCAACUCAAAGGCAAGUUGGAGGCACUCUCUGUGAACUGGUUGUCUGUAUAUUGGAUUCAUUGCUUUUUCUCAAACGGGACAGUCAAGUAUCUGGGUUGCUGCCUGAUUCAGCGGACAACUGCUUAGAAGCCACUUUGGCAAGUAAGCAGCAUGUAAAUAAAUAAGGUGUGAACAAUGGACUCAAAA